CAGCAGUCAAGAAUAUUAGUCAAUGGCCUAACGGCUGAACUGGUAACUUGAAAAAAUGAGAAGUUCGAACGUAGAAAUAUAAGUAGAAUUUAAUUGAAUUGGCAAAUAAAAUUUUAAGUACAUAUUUAUAAUGACAGUAUGUAUACUCGGUCUUGACCAAUUACGUGCCAGCAGUCGCGGUAAUACGUAGGAGGCUAGCGUUAUUCAUCAUAAUUAGGUUUAAAGGGUACUCAGACGGUCAGGAAAUCCUUACUAAGGUAAUACUUGACUAGAGUUUUAUAUAAGAAGACAGAACUUAGAGUGGAGAGAUUUAAUUCGUUGAUACCAAAAGGACUGAUAAAGGCGAAGGCAGUCUUUUAUGUAAUAACUGACGUUAAAGGACGAAGGCAUAGAUCACGAAAAGGAUUCGAGACCCAACUAGUCUUUGCAGAAAAUGCUGAAUGCUAUGGAUUAGAAAAAUUUAGUCUGUAAAUGAAAAUGUAAGCAUUCCACCUCAAGAGUAAUGUGGCAACGCAGGAACUGAAAUCACUAGGCCGUUUCUAACACCAGUAGUGAAGUAUGUUAUUUAAUUCGAUAAUCCGC
rnacentral:rRNA from 1 species